rnacentral:tRNA from 2 species
GCUCCUGUGGCUCAGUUGGUUAGAGCCUUGCAUUCCAUGCAGGAGGUCGAGGGUUCGACCCCCUCCAGGUGCA